rnacentral:rRNA from 1 species
UUCCAGCUCCAAUAGCGUAUAUUAAAGUUGUUGCAGUUAAAAAGCUCGUAGUUGGAUUUCUGGCGAGGCUUGGUCGGUCGGCGCUUAGCGUGUGAACCGUGUCGAGCCUUGCCAUCCUGAGGAAGAACCUUGUUGGCAUUAAGUUGUCGACUUGGGUACUCCUCUCGUUUACUGUGAAAAAAUUAGAGUGUUCAAAGCAGGCUUAUGCCGUUGAAUAGUCCAGCAUGGAAUAAUAAGAUAGGACCUCGGUGCUAUUUUGUUGGUUUGCGCACCAAGGUAAUGAUUAAUAGGGACAGUUGGGGGUAUUCGUAUUCUGCAGUCAGAGGUGAAAUUCUUGGAUUUACGGACGACGAACUACUGCGAAAGCAUUUACCAAGGAUGUUUUCAUCA